rnacentral:tRNA from 1 species
ACUUUCUCAGUAUAAAUUUGUACAACUGCCUUCCAAGCAGUAAGUUUGGUAUUCAAAGAAAGUA